GCUGGCGGCACGCCUAACACAUGCAAGUCGAACGAAGUAGCAAUACUUAGUGGCAGACGGGUGAGUAACAUGUAGGUAUCUACCCUUUGGCCUGGAAUAACACGAGGAAACUUGUGCUAAUACCGGAUAAGUCUUUACGGAGAAAGCUUUAUGCACCAUUGGAUGAGCCUGCACUUGAUUAGUUUGUUGGUGGGGUAAUGGCCUACCAAGACUUUGAUCAAUAGCUGAUUUGAGAGGAUGAUCAGCCACAUUGGGACUGAGACACGGCCCAAACUCCUACGGGAGGCAGCAGUGGGGAAUCUUGCACAAUGGAGGAAACUCUGAUGCAGCGAUGCCGCGUGAGUGAAGAAGGCCUUUGGGUUGUAAAGCUCUUUCGUCGGGGAAGAAAAUGACUGUACCCGAAUAAGAAGGUCCGGCUAACUUCGUGCCAGCAGCCGCGGUAAUACGAAGGGACCUAGCGUAGUUCGGAAUUACUGGGCUUAAAGAGUUCGUAGGUGGUUGAAAAAGUUGGUGGUGAAAUCCCAGAGCUUAACUCUGGAACUGCCAUCAAAACUUUUCAGCUAGAGUUUGAUAGAGGAAAGCAGAAUUUCUAGUGUAGAGGUGAAAUUCGUAGAUAUUAGAAAGAAUACCAAUUGCGAAGGCAGCUUUCUGGAUCAUUACUGACACUGAGGAACGAAAGCAUGGGUAGCGAAGAGGAUUAGAUACCCUCGUAGUCCAUGCCGUAAACGAUGUGUGUUAGACGUUGGAAAUUUAUUUUCAGUGUCGCAGCGAAAGCGAUAAACACACCGCCUGGGGAGUACG
rnacentral:rRNA from 1 species